GCCUAGCCCCGAUUGUAGUGGAAAUCCUUGUAGAAAGAAAAGCUAAUUUUUUCUUGCCAAAAAAGAGCGACCAACGGAAGCUCCUUUUUUGGGUAGAAAAAUAGCUUUUAUGAGACAAGAUUGUAACGAAAAGCGGGAAAUAGC
rnacentral:sRNA from 1 species